rnacentral:rRNA from 1 species
AGAGUUUGAUUCUGGCUCAGGAUGAACGCUGCGGCGUGCUUAACACAUGCAAGUCGAACGGGAAAUAUUUCAUUGAGACUUCGGUGGAUUUGAUCUAUUUCUAGUGGCGGACGGGUGAGUAACGCGUGGGUAACCUGCCUUAUACAGGGGGAUAACAGUCAGAAAUGGCUGCUAAUACCGCAUAAGCGCACAGAGCUGCAUGGCUCAGUGUGAAAAACUCCGGUGGUAUAAGAUGGACCCGCGUUGGAUUAGCUGGUUGGUGGGGUAACGGCCCACCAAGGCGACGAUCCAUAGCCGGCCUGAGAGGGUGAACGGCCACAUUGGGACUGAGACACGGCCCAGACUCCUACGGGAGGCAGCAGUGGGGAAUAUUGCACAAUGGGGGAAACCCUGAUGCAGCGACGCCGCGUGAAGGAAGAAGUAUCUCGGUAUGUAAACUUCUAUCAGCAGGGAAGAUAGUGACGGUACCUGACUAAGAAGCCCCGGCUAACUACGUGCCAGCAGCCGCGGUAAUACGUAGGGGGCAAGCGUUAUCCGGAUUUACUGGGUGUAAAGGGAGCGUAGACGGUGUGGCAAGUCUGAUGUGAAAGGCAUGGGCUCAACCUGUGGACUGCAUUGGAAACUGUCAUACUUGAGUGCCGGAGGGGUAAGCGGAAUUCCUAGUGUAGCGGUGAAAUGCGUAGAUAUUAGGAGGAACACCAGUGGCGAAGGCGGCUUACUGGACGGUAACUGACGUUGAGGCUCGAAAGCGUGGGGAGCAAACAAAAUUAGAUACCCUGGUAGUCCACGCCGUAAACG